UACGUAGGGAGCGAGCGUUGUCCGGAAUUACUGGGUGUAAAGGGAGCGUAGGCGGGACGGCAAGUCAGAUGUGAAAACUGAGGGCUCAACCUUCAGACUGCAUUUGAAACUGCUGUUCUUGAGUGAAGUAGAGGUAAGCGGAAUUCGUGGUGUAGCGGUGAAAUGCUUAGAUAUCACGAAGAACUCCGAUUGCGAAGGCAGCUCACUGGACUGCAACUGACACUGAGGCUCGAAAGUGUGGGUAUCAAACAGG
rnacentral:rRNA from 1 species